rnacentral:rRNA from 1 species
UAAUACGUAGGUGGCAAGCGUUACUCGGAAUUACUAGGCGUAAAGCGCAGGUAGGUGGUUUGAUAAGUCCGUAAUGAAAUCUCCCGGCUUAACUGGGAGGGGUUUAGGGAUACUGUCAGGCUUGAGUGUGGGAGAGGUAACUGGAAUUCCUGGUGUAGCGGUGAAAUGCGUAGAGAUCAGGAGGAACACCUAUGGCGAAAGCAGGUUACUGGCCCAAUACUGACGCUGAGCUGCGAAAGCUAGGGGAGCAAACAGGAUUAGAUACCCUGGUAGUCCUAGCCAUAAACGAUGCAGACCAGAGGUGGGGGGUAUCGACCCCCUCCGCCCCGAACCUAACGGAUUAAGUCUGCCGCCUGGGGAGUACGGCCGCAAGGUUG